rnacentral:rRNA from 1 species
GAUGAACGCUGGCGGCGUGCCUAAUACAUGCAAGUCGAGCGAACGGACGAGAAGCUUGCUUCUCUGAUGUUAGCGGCGGACGGGUGAGUAACACGUGGAUAACCUACCUUUAAGACUGGGAUAACUUCGGGAAACCGGAGCUAAUACCGGAUAAUAUUUUGAACCGCAUGGUUCAAAAGUGAAAGACGGUUUUGUUGCUACUAAUAGAUGGAUCCGCGCUGCAUUAGCUAGUUGGUAAGGUAACGGCUUACCAAGGCAACGAUGCAUAGCCGACCUGAGAGGGUGAUCGGCCACACUGGAACUGAGACACGGUCCAGACUCCUACGGGAGGCAGCAGUAGGGAAUCUUCCGCAAUGGGCGAAAGCCUGACGGAGCAACGCCGCGUGAGUGAUGAAGGUCUUCGGAUCGUAAAACUCUGUUAUUAGGGAAGAACAUAUGUGUAAGUAACUGUGCACAUCUUGACGGUACCUAAUCAGAAAGCCACGGCUAACUACGUG